AUAUCAAUAAGCGGAGGAAAAGAAACUAACAAGGAUUCCCCUAGUAACUGCGAGUGAAGAGGGAAAAGCUCAAAUUUAAAAUCUGGUGGCUCUUCCGCCAUCCGAGUUGUAAUUUAGAGAAGCGUCUUCCGCGCUGGACCGUGCAUAAGUCUCCUGGAAUGGAGCGUCAUAGAGGGUGAGAAUCCCGUCUUUGGCACGGACCCCCAGGGCUUCUGCGAUGCGCUCUCGAAGAGUCGAGUUGUUUGGGAAUGCAGCUCAAAAUGGGUGGUGAACUCCAUCUAAAGCUAAAUAUUGGCGAGAGACCGAUAGCGAACAAGUACCGUGAGGGAAAGAUGAAAAGCACUUUGGAAAGAGAGUGAAACAGUAC
rnacentral:rRNA from 1 species